rnacentral:rRNA from 1 species
UACGUAGGGUGCGAGCGUUGUCCGGAAUUAUUGGGCGUAAAGAGCUCGUAGGCGGUUUGUCACGUCUGCUGUGAAAUCCCGAGGCUCAACCCCCAGCCUGCAGUGGGUACGGGCAGACUAGAGUGCGGUAGGGGAGAUUGGAAUUCCUGGUGUAGCGGUGGAAUGCGCAGAUAUCAGGAGGAACACCGAUGGCGAAGGCAGAUCUCUGGGCCGUAACUGACGCUGAGGAGCGAAAGCAUGGGGAGCGAACAGG